rnacentral:rRNA from 1 species
AUUGAACGCUGGCGGCAGGCCUAACACAUGCAAGUCGAGCGGAUGAGAGGAGCUUGCUUCUUGACUCAGCGGCGGACGGGUGAGUAAUGCCUAGGAAUCUGCCUGGUAGUGGGGGACAACGCUUCGAAAGGAACGCUAAUACCGCAUACGUCCUACGGGAGAAAGCAGGGGACAUUCGGGCCUUGCGCUAUCAGAUGAGCCUAGGUCGGAUUAGCUAGUUGGUGAGGUAAUGGCUCGCCAAGGCGACGAUCCGUAACUGGUCUGAGAGGAUGAUCAGUCACACUGGAACUGAGACACGGUCCAGACUCCUACGGGAGGCAGCAGUGGGGAAUAUUGGACAAUGGGCGAAAGCCUGAUCCAGCCAUGCCGCGUGUGUGAAGAAGGUCUUCGGAUUGUAAAGCACUUUAAGUUGGGAGGAAGGGUUGUACGUUAAUACCGUGCAAUUUUGACGUUACCGACAGAAUAAGCACCGGCUAACUCUGUGCCAGCCGCCGCCGUAA